rnacentral:rRNA from 1 species
GACAGAGGAGCCAAGCGUUGUCCGGAUUGACUGGGCGUAAAGCGCACGCAGGCGGCCCGACGCGUGGGGUGUGAAAGCUGGCGGCUUAACUGCCAGACGCCAUCCCAUACGGCUGGGCUCGAGCCCUGCAGAGGUCCAUGGAAUUGCCGGUGUAGUGGUGAAAUGCGUAGAGAUCGGCAGGAACACCCAGGGGGAAACCAGUGGACUGGGCAGGAGCUGACGCUCAGGUGCGAAAGCGUGGGGAGCGAACCGG